UGGGGAAUAUUGGGCAAUGGGCGCAAGCCUGACCCAGCAACGCCGCGUGAAGGAAGAAGGCUUUCGGGUUGUAAACUUCUUUUGAGAGGGACGAAAAAAUGACGGUACCUCUUGAAUAAGCCACGGCUAACUACGUGCCAGCAGCCGCGGUAAUACGUAGGUGGCAAGCGUUAUCCGGAUUUAUUGGGUGUAAAGGGCGUGUAGGCGGGAGUGCAAGUCAGAUGUGAAAACUAUGGGCUCAACCCAUAGCCUGCAUUUGAAACUGUACUUCUUGAGUGCUGGAGAGGCAAUCGGAAUUCCGUGUGUAGCGGUGAAAUGCGUAGAUAUACGGAGGAACACCAGUGGCGAAGGCGGAUUGCUGGACAGUAACUGACGCUGAGGCGCGAAAGCGUGGGGAGCAAACAGGAUUAGAUACCC
rnacentral:rRNA from 1 species